UAGGGAAUCUUCGGCAAUGGGGGGAACCCUGACCGAGCAACGCCGCGUGAGUGAAGAAGGUUUUCGGACCGUAAAGCCCUGUUGUUAAGGAAGAACGAGUGUGAGAAUGGAAAGUUCAUGCUGUGACGGUACUUAACCAGAAAGGGACGGCUAACUACGUGCCAGCAGCCGCGGUAAUACGUAGGUCCCGAGCGUUGUCCGGAUUUAUUGGGCGUAAAGCGAGCGCAGGCGGUUAGAUAAGUCUGAAGUUAAAGGCAGUGGCUCAACCAUUGUAGGCUUUGAAAACUUUUUAACUUGAGUGCAGAAGGGGAGAGUAGAAUUCCAUGUGUAGCGGUGAAAUGCGUAGAUAUAUGGAGAAACACCGGUGGCGAAAGCGGCUCUCUGGUCUGUAACGGACGCUGAGGCUCGAAAGCGUGGGGAGCGAACAGG
rnacentral:rRNA from 1 species